CCUACGUGUGGCAGCUGUGAGGAAUAUUGGUCAAUGUGCGUAAGCCUGAACCAGCCAAGUCGCGUGAGGGAUGAAGGUUCUAUGGAUCGCAAACCUCUUUUAUAAGGGAAUAAAGUGUGGGACGUGUCCUAUUUUGUAUGUACCUUAUGAAUAAGGAUCGGCUAACUCCGUGCCAGCAGCCGCGGUAAUACGGAGGAUCCGAGCGUUAUCCGGAUUUAUUGGGUUUAAAGGGUGCGUAGGCGGCCUUUUAAGUCAGCGGUGAAAGUCUGUGGCUCAACCAUAGAAUUGCCGUUGAAACUGGGGGGGCUUGAGUAUGGUUGAGGCAGGCGGAAUGCGGGGUGUAGCGGUGAAAUGCUUAGAUAUCACGCAGAACCCCGAUUGCGAAGGCAGCCUGCCAAGCCAUGACUGACGCUGAUGCACGAAAGCGUGGGGAUCAAACAGGAUUAGAUACCCCUGUGUC
rnacentral:rRNA from 1 species